UAGCCGAAGGACUCACAGGGACGCGCUCCAAUUUUUGUCAAUUUUAAUAUACUUUUUGGAGCAAGUCAAUCCUAAAAGUGUACUCAUCUGAAAGAGAAAAUUACUACAAUCAUUUUGAUGCAUAAAUUAUUGGCGAUUGGAGUGGAUUAAUUUGGUAUUUUUAAUAACAAAAAAUGACAAGGAUGGACUGCCUGUUGAGCAUUUUUUUGUGUCUGUUGUCCCUUAUUAUUUACUCUGUUCCCGUAUUAUUUUACAACUUGUCUAACACAUGCACACACUUAUUGGCAGUUCCAAAACAAACAUGACGUCCCUUUCUGUUUUUGCACUGUGAAUAUAGCUAUAGAGAGACAAUCGACUGAGCAAUUGAAAGAAAUAAAAAACGUCCUUUUGUUUUGACUGAAUGGAUAAUAUUUUUGAUGAUUAAACUUACUUUUCCAAAGUUUGAAAGACCACCAAUUUGAGGCACUUGACCAGGUUCAUCUGCUGUGCUGCAGUCUGCCCUACCGAACCAACAGAUUAUAUAUAAAUUUCAUAGGGGGGCAAGUCAACGACUUCAGUUGAGAAUCUUCAUCUUCAAAAUUAAUGGUGA